UGCACAGCGAUGAGGAAGAAGAGUAGGCAUUUAACGAGGCUUCAGAGAGCUGAUGGGUGGUGCGAAUCAGCGUCGAGUGAAUGUUGAAUGGGCUUCCGAGCUCCAGACCGAACCCGCCUUUUGCAAAAAGCGGCGCGUAGGCUUUGGCGUAGCGUCCGUACGUUACCAGCGGACACCGUAUCGAUCUCGGGUACGGAGCAAAGUGAUUUUGUGCAUGUUUUUGGCAUGUGCAGAAUAAAAAGGGUGGCACCACGGUUCAUUCGUCCCUGUC
rnacentral:ncRNA from 1 species